rnacentral:lncRNA from 1 species
UGUAGCCUAAAGAGUAGUAGCAAUAGAUUUGGUUAGUCAUAUGCAUGCUUUCUCCCAGUGGUAAAAAUAUAAAAACGAUACUCUGGAUAGCCUCCCAGGUGAAAUGCUCACCGAUAUCCGUGCGCUUGCAGAUCAUUUCCUGAUGGCGUUACCAAAUAUCAACAAUACCAAUGUGGUGAAGCCAAGGGAAACAAUAACCAGUGGGCUUGAAUGGUGAAGAAUAGCUCAGCGGCAUGGGUGCCAGCUCUCUUUAUUACUCAAUUGUAUAAGCAAUGG